GAUCCUGGCUCAGGAUGAACGCUAGCUACAGGCUUAACACAUGCAAGUCGAGGGGAAACGACAUCGAAAGCUUGCUUUUGAUGGGCGUCGACCGGCGCACGGGUGAGUAACGCGUAUCCAACCUGCCUACCACUUGGGGGAUAACCCUUGCGAAAGUAAGACGUAAUACCCAAUGACAUCCCACGAAGACAUCUGAAUGGGAUUAAAGAUUUAUCGGUGAUGGAUGGGGAUGCGUCUGAUUAG
rnacentral:rRNA from 1 species